UACCUCAAAUCUGUGCUCGAAUUAAAGAAAAUGGAACGAUUUGAACGGCGCAGAAAGUCAGAAACAGUCACACAACUUUUGUCUUUUUCCAAAGACCAAAACAAAGAGUGAACCAAAAUCCACAAUCUCAUGUAGUCAUGUGACUAUGACAUGAUGACGACAUACUUCCGAGCUUUACUGUAACCGGCCACCAUCUUCGUACGGGCUUCGGCCACUUCGGCUUUGUUCGUGGCUUCGUGCGAACAUAAACAACAUGGCGAACCUCCGUCCCCGUGUACGUGAAAUCAUUCAUUGAAAUAUAUAAAUCUUGGUCAUAUUUUAGGCAUCUUUGGUUGUAUAAAGUCUACAAACAAGGUACGUGACAGUUGUACCAGCCACUGGUAGCAUGCUGCUGCUAUGAAAGCCAAAGGAAGCCAGUGUAUUUAGGACGACCUGAAUUGUAGUUGCGAAGGCGAAAAUAUACACGUUUUCUAACCUCAACCAGCGAAAGUGCACUGUACAGGGAUGUCUUUGAGGCAGUCGGGAGGCUAGAAAUUUGCACAAACAGAAAAGUUAUGAAACUAGUUUCGCCUAGAAAUUUUAUAUG